rnacentral:rRNA from 1 species
CCUACGGGUGGCAGCAGUGAGGACUAUUGGUCAAUGGACGAGAGUCUGAACCAGCCAAGUAGCGUGAAGGAUGACUGCCCUAUGGGUUGUAAACUUCUUUUAUAUGGGAAUAAAAUGUUCCACGUGUGGGAUUUUGUAUGUACCAUAUGAAUAAGGAUCGGCUAACUCCGUGCCAGCAGCCGCGGUAAUACGGAGGAUCCGAGAGUUAUACGGAUUUAUUGGGUUUAAAGGGAGCGUAGGUGGUUUGUUAAGUCAGUUGUGAAAGUUUGCGGCUCAACCGUAAAAUUGCAGUUGAAACUGGCAGUCUUGAGUACAGUAGAGGUGGGCGGAAUUCGUGGUGUAGCGGUGAAAUGCUUAGAUAUCACGAAGAACUCCGAUUGCGAAGGCAGUUCACUGGACUGCAACUGACACUGAGGCUCGAAAGUGUGGGUAUCAAACAGGAUUAGAUACCCCUGUAGUC